UUUGUACUCAGCCAAUGCAGUAUUUGUGCUCCAUGAAGGACAUAGUUCCAGAAACUCUCAACUGUGUGCCACAGCAAGGAGCAUCUCACAGGACCAGGGCCUACAAGAAGUCCAAGCUUAUUCCAGAAAGAAGGAGCAAAUUCCAGCAGCAAUACUUUUUCAAGUACUGGUUCUGUGAACCAUGAGAUUAAGCUAUGAUAUCACCUGUGCCUUAAGAAAUAAAUUGUCUCUGGGAAAGAUUUCCAAACUCUUCCCUGCAGCCACAGAAACAAGCUGCAGGUGCCUGUUUCAGUAUGCACUCCCAUAAUGAUGGAGCCUGUAAAUGCAAUUUUACCUCAUAUGUAAAAUAUAAGAUUAUAAUUUCUGCCCUGAUGCUGCUGUAGCCAAGUCAAGCAUGGGAAAUGCACCAGGCUCGAGAGAGGCCCUCCCUCUGGAAUGGGGAGGGUGCGAGACGGGAUGGGGAUGAAGUUUCAGGUAUAAAGUCAGGGCUCAGCAACAGAUGGGGUACGCCAUGAGCGGUGUCAGAUCUCAGCAGCGACUGAGGGAACGGUGACAUGCCCUCGGCUGUGAGGCACAGGCGGGAGCUCCUCUCAGGAGCUAUCCCGCAGGGAACUCCAGUAGCAGCCAGCGAUCUGAGCCAAGGCACAGCAGGGACUCGGACAGAAAUGAAACUGUCCCGGGGAAGGAGGAGGAGAUGAACAGCGGCGGGACGGAGCCAGGGCCCAGACCCAGUGCGGGACCGCUUCUCCCCACGGCGCUGCCACAGCCACCAGAGAGCGCGAGCGCAGCAGGGCUCGACGGCCACUGGCUGCCGCCGCCGUCCAUCACAGCGCCAUCGCCAAUAGCAACGCGAGGGUCUGCGGGGCUACCGGCGGGUGCGCUCGGCCCCGCCUGGGCCAAUCGCGUGGGAGAAGGUGGGCGGCGCCCCCGCCGCGCCGCGAAGACGGGGGGGCCAAGAUGGCGGUAAUGGGGGGGCCCGGUUGACACGGCGCUGCCUAUUCCCCGUCCCCGGGCGCUCUCCGCCGCUGCCCCCUCCUUGGCGAGGGAUCGCGGGCCACUCUCGCCGCACGGAGACGGAGCAGGGACGCGGGAGAGGCCCGCAAGCUGCGGCGCACCGGCCUCCCCAGCUCCUUCCCGCCCGCCCGGUCACCUUCCCGCGACCCCGGCGCGGGGGAGGCGUGGGGUCCCAGGAAACACCCUGAAGCGCGGUCAGGUGCCAGAGUCCAACCCGGCUACACUCCCAGAGAACCUUGGCCUGCCACACUGUGAAAAGAAAAACAGCCAUAAUCACGUUUCCAGCCAACACUCUGCUGACCCACGAUACAGGAAAAAUGCAGAGGAUUAGGAACGCUUUCCCUGGUUGCUCAGGCAACAGCAAGACAUGGGAAUAUGAAAAGUUUCAGGACUGCAGCAGAUGUCAGCAGAGGGGACAGCACUAUGUAAAAUUUUUGGAGGAGCCAGGAAAAUAGAGGAAGGAACUCAGACCAGGGAGUCAAACUGCAGAACCCAAGGCAGAUUUUCCAAUCUGAGGAUGUCCUCCCAGCUGCUGACCUACAGAGAAUCUAACCCCAGCACCUAACACAGGAGAGCUGCAGGUGGAGCUUCAGCCUGCACAGCACAGACAGCGCUGGUUACAGCCUUGCCAUAAUCCCAGCCCAGAGCCGAUGCAGUCGAUGCAGCUGGGAGAGCCUCGAUGCUCUCCCCAGCACAGAUUUAGUGAACAGAUGCAGUCUGGGCUGACCUCAGGCAGGCAGAGCUGUGUCCCUGCCUUGGCUGGUAGAGAUCAGCAAGACCAGCCUUGGAGGGGUCAGAAGAUUCUUCUUUCACAGUCACACUCAGCUGGAAGCCAAAUCCCUACAGAUUUUGGCAAAUCGAAAAGGGCAGAAGCAUUCUCCUGCGUUACUUUCUCAGCUGCUCUAGAAGGUGCAAAAGCCACUGCUGCAUAACGCUGCAAUAGGAAAUUUUCCCAGCAAUUCCCAGCAGAGGACAGCAAAUCCUAACUCCACAUUUUCUGCCUCAGCUUUGUACAGCAAUCAGCAUCAAGCCCUCCCUCCUGAGCUCUGUCCAUUCAAAACCACCACGCACCCCCGGGCUGCUUCUGCCUCCCUUCUUGAGAGCUCCAGAGAAGCUGAGAGUUUUACAGGGACCAGUAAAGAUUUCUUUUGAUGAUUGUUUUUUUCGGCUGGGCAAGGAAACUUGAAAGGAUUUCUCUCUUCCUUUUUUUUUUUUGUCCUGUCUUUAUUUUUCUUCCUGAUUUUCUCUGUGAUAAAAAUCAGGGAACGCUGUACAAAUACAAAUUAAAAGUCAAGUCUAAUCCUGCCUGAUUUUGCAGGACUUACUUAAGAAUGUAAGAGGCAUAAACACAAUUGGGCAGCCAAGUGAAUGCCCCACUGUAAACUGGAAGCUGGAGGAGAAGGACAAAACCUGGACACCAGGGUUUCAGGAUUAGUGCCAGUGGCAGGCCAGACUUUGCCCAACACCUAUGAAAACAGACACACCUUUCUUUUUUCUUUCUUUUUUUUUUUUUUUUCAUUUAUUUUUAGCUCAGCAUGUUAUGAAAUAAGGGCUCUGUUCAGAUACUAUCAAUGGACUGUUUCAUAUUUAACCUUUCAGGGCUGCCCAUCUCUGGUUCGUCAGUGCAAACCCAGCAAUUUCUGCCUUGUGCUUGCUCUUGCUUCAGGCACCUUUGCCUGGCUGAAUAAUUAACAGCAGCUCCUGCUGCUCUCUUGUAGCUGGGGUUCAUCAUCAGCCAUGAAGGAAGUCCCGUCUGUUACUGAUCCUGGUUUGCAAUAAUUUCUAUCCACUUUAUGAUUUCAAACUGGAAACUGUAUCAGGAGGGGGUUGUAUUGUCCAGCUGCUUCAGCUGCCUGGGACUCAGCAGCAAUGACGCCCUGUUCCAGCUCCCACCUCUGUAAUCACCGACAAAUCUCUUCCAGACACCCAGCUGUUGCGAGCGUGAAGGGACAUGUCUUUGGGCCCUCCUCCCUCCGCCUCCACAUUGGCAGAGGUGAGGCAUCAGGUUUCCUGACACGCCUCGGUGUUGUACAGGUGCCUCUGGGCUCUGCUGCAGGAGGGGAGCAGCCAGCCCCGCUCGGGCACGCCUCUGGCAGCCCCUGUCAUCCACAGCUCCCACUCUGCUGCUCCCUCAGCCCGGAAAUAUCCUCACGGGGCUCGGACAGAGGCUCAUGAAAUCCCUCCUCCAAACAAGGGGAUGAGUAAGGACUCGCCGAGCCGGGGAAUCCGAGGGGCAAGCCACAGACAGCAUCACGUCAGGCACGCAGGAGCAUCCUCUCGAAGCCAAUGGACAGCUCGUGACAAAGGACACCAUGGGGUCACAUCGAUUUUCUCCCGAGCCCGGCUUCCCAGGAGCGUGGGGAGGUGCUGAAAGUGGGCUGAGGCUCUCCAAGUGACUGCUGCGAGAGGUUCCAGGAGCAGCUGUGGGAUGGGAACAUCCCCAGAACGGUUUGUGCCCCAGGCUUUGCUGGGCGCGGUUUCAUCUCCUGCAGCAGCUCUCAGCCCUUCCUGGCUCUUCUCGGGCCCGUGCUCAUCACCGUGUCUGUGACCAACCAGCCCAGCACCCCCAGCCCACGAGCACCAUUCCCGGUAAGCAGAGAGCACCUCAACAUUUCCCUUCAGCAAGAGGAGGCUCAGGUGGGGCUCCCACACAGGAGGUGCAUCCUUCCCACUCCCCAAAGGAAGUGACUAAGCCGAGCCUUACCAAGCCAGCCUAGCUGCUUGCACAGUGUUCUACCAGAGCAGCCCUCCACCCUGCCCAGAGCUCUGCUCCUUCCAUACAGGCCACCUGCAAAGGUGUCCCUACAGGAAAAGCACAAUCAAGGGGGUGGGGAACAUUCACUGUGCCUGCUUUAUGUGCAACCACUGCAAUGGCCCUUAUGCUCUGCAAGCAGCCCUGCUGUUCAUAAACACAAACAGGAACAAGGCGCCGUGGCAGUAUCUGUGUAAUCAGCCCUGGCUGCAGCAGCAGCACAGCCAAGAAAUAAUCCACAGCUUGGCUGGGUCUAUAAAUACACCUGUGAGCAAGAGGUGUCACAGCAAAAGCUCCUGGUCCUUAAGCAAACAUGUAACUCCUGGGUUAUUUGAUGAACACAGCCCUUGCUCAGCUGCUGCUGCACACACAGGCAAUCAGCACCCAAUUAGGGAGUCCUGAAUAGCUGGGGCAGGUCUGGGCUGUACUGAGAUGAGUUAACUCCAGUGACCAAAUCAAACAGGAAAGUUUAGAACGGUGGAAAAAUGGACAAGAAGCCCCAUGGCAGCAGAGUUAACCUCCAGUCACCUUGUUCCCUCCCAGCCAUCACACCCAGGAUCCCCCACAGCACAGCAGAGAAAUUCACACCAUACUAAAACUCAACACUUCAGUGCAAGAGGUUUCCAAGUACCAGCAGUGCAGUAAAUCUGAAAAAUAGAUUUUAUUUUUAACCAGUGGUAUUGUGACAUCUUAUCUGGCAUAACCAAUUACAGCAAAAUCCAUGGAUAGAAACAAAAUAGCAGAUCUCUGCUUUUGGGUGCAGCAUCGUGCCCAGGCAGCUGAGCACAGCACAGCACUGGCAGCAGGGAGUUUGUGCCCCAGGGGCUCCCUCAGAGGACAGACUCCAAUGAACCAUUCCCACUCACACACACAGACACACCCACACACACAACACCGAGAGUUUUAAAAAUCUUUAGCAAUAUUUCCGCAUGAAAUCACACUGUAGCAUCUACACAGAAAAUGGCUGAUAAAAAUAAUCUUGCUGUAGGUUUACAUAGUAUAUCUACAUUUUUAUUUGAAUA